rnacentral:rRNA from 1 species
AUGGCGAAGUCUCUGCGCUCGAAGCGGGAGAAGCGGCUGCGGACUCUCCGGCGGGAGAUCGCGGAGCCCUUCUACGACAAGAAGGAGGCCGCCAAGCAGGCCGCGCAGGCCGCCGCCCUCGACGCCCCCAAGCUCCCCGUCCGCGUGCACCCGAUGUACGAGGAGUCCCUCGCCGCUGCCGCUGCGGCCGCCGCCAGCCGGGCCUCGGCCAUGGAAGUUGAUGGAGGAAGCAAGAAGUCUGCAUCCUUCCUGAAGCCAAUGGGCACCAUUAGCAAGAAGAAGGUACAGCUUCACUUGAAGAUCAAGAAAGACAAGAGAAAAGCUAGGAAGAAGGGAAAUUCUGGGAAGAAGAGUUAUUAG